rnacentral:rRNA from 1 species
UGCAAGUCGAACGCUAUUUAUAGAGUGGCGCACGGGUGAGUAACGCGUGGGAAUCUGCCCAUCUGCCUGGGAUAACAGCUGGAAACGGCUGCUAAUACCGGAUACGCCCUUCGGGGGAAAGGUCCGCCGCAGAUGGAGGAGCCCGCGUCUGAUCAGCUUGUUGGUAGGGUAAUGGCCUACCAAGGCUACGAUCAGUAGCUGGUCUGAGAGGAUGAUCAGCCACACUGGGACUGAGACACGGCCCAGACUCCUACGGGAGGCAGCAGUGGGGAAUAUUGGACAAUGGGGGCAACCCUGAUCCAGCAAUGCCGCGUGUGUGAUGAAGGCCUUAGGGUUGUAAAGCACUUUCACUGGUGAAGAUGAUGACGGUAACCAGAGAAGAAGCCCCGGCUAACUUCGUGCCAGCAGCCGCGGUAAUACGAAGGGGGCGAGCGUUGUUCGGAAUUACUGGGCGUAAAGGGAGCGCAGGCGGUUCAUUAAGUUAGGCGUGAAAGCCCCGGGCUCAACCUGGGAACUGCGUUUAAUACUGAUGAACUAGAAAACAGGAGAGGGUAGUGGAAUUUCCAGUGUAGAGGUGAAAUUCCGUAGAUAUUGGAAAGAAAACCGGUGGCGAAAGCGGCUACCCUGGCCUGAUUUUGACGCUGAAGGCUCGAAAGCGUGGGGAGCAAACAGGAUUAGAU